GAACCGUCCAAACGUUUAUUCGGAAUCAUUGGGCUUAAAGGGUGCGUAGGCGGUGCGGUCAGUUGGGUGUGAAAUCCCUCGGCUCAACCGAGGAACUGCGCCCAAUACUGCCGCGCUCGAGGGAGACAGAGGUAAGCGGAACUGAUGGUGGAGCGGUGAAAUGCGUUGAUAUCAUCAGGAACACCAGUGGCGAAGGCGGCUUACUGGGUCUCUUCUGACGCUGAGGCACGAAAGCUAGGGGAGCGAACGGGGGAUUAGAUACCCCGGUAGUCCUAGCUGUAAACGAUGAGCACUUGAUCGGAGGCUCCUCCAUAGGUUUCCGGUCGUAGCGAAAGUGUUAAGUGCUCCGCCUGGGGAGUAUGGUCGCAAGGCUG
rnacentral:rRNA from 1 species